rnacentral:rRNA from 1 species
GUCCUUUAGUUUAUUAUUUAAGGUCUAAUCUGCCCUAUGAUUAUUUAAAUGGCCGCAGUAAUUUGACUGUGCAAAGGUAGCAUAAUCAUUAGUUUUUUAAUUAAAAGCUUGUAUGAAUGAUUGGACGAGAUAAAUUCUGUCUCUUAUAAAUUAAUAGAAUUUUAUUUUUAAGUUAAAAAGCUUAAAUGUAUAUAUAAGACGAGAAGACCCUAUAGAUCUUUAUAUUAUUAUUAAUUAAAUUUAUUUGGGAUUUAUUUUAUAAUUUAUUUAUUAUAGUAUUUUAUUGGGGUAAUAUAAAGAUUGAAAUAAUUCUUUAUUUUUAUUUACAAAAUUAUUUGAUUUUUUUGAUCCAUUAUUAAUGAUUAUAAGAUUAAGUUACCUUAGGGAUAACAGCGUAAUUUUUUUAGAAAGUUCAUAUUAAUAAAAAAGUUUGCGACCUCGAUGUUGGAUUAAAAAUUAUUUUAGGUGCAGAAGCUUAAAUUUUUGGUCUGUUCGACCAUUAAAUUUUUACA